ACCGUGGGGCUUCGGCCCCGUCGUGAUAGAACCCUUGCCUUUUUGAGUACCGUCCGUUUCCUCGGCAGGCUCGCCUGCCAAUGGGGACCCAAAACCAAACUCUUUUUAUCAUCUGUACCAGUCUGAAAAACAAACAAAAGUUAAAACUUUCAACAACGGAUCUCUUGGUUCUGGCAUCGAUGAAGAACGCAGCGAAAUGCGAUAAGUAGUGUGAAUUGCAGAAUUCAGUGAAUCAUCGAAUCUUUGAACGCACAUUGCGCCCUUUGGUAUUCCUUAGGGCAUGCCUGUUCGAGCGUCAUUACAACCCUCAAGCUUUGCUUGGUAUUGGACAUUGCCAGUUUCUGGCAGGUCUUAAAAUCAGUGGCGGUGCCAUUUGGCUUCAAGCGUAGUAAUUCUUCUCGCUUUGGAGAUCCAGGUGGUUACUUGCCAAUAACCCCCAAUUUUUUCAGGUUGACCUCGGAUCAGGUAGGGAUACCCGCUGAACUUAAGCAUAUCAAUAAGCGGAGGA
rnacentral:rRNA from 1 species